ensembl:ncRNA lncRNA:CR44197 long non-coding RNA:CR44197
ACAACUACAAUGGCAAAUGCAAAAGCAAACUGCCAAUCAAAUUGUCAGUCAAGUGGAAAAGAGCAAAAACUGCAACACGAGCGGGCCAGCGAAGAAAUUUCCACAAGGCGAAACUUCUCGCUCUUCCCCAUCACAGAACUGAAUACAACCGAAUAGAAUAGAACUGAACUGAACAGUAUAGAAUACAACCGAGAGAUCGGGCAGAAAACUAACACCCCGGCCAUAUAUUCCAUAUAGUAUAGAUGGGAUGUGUGCGAAACUUGGCAAAAACAAAUAGUGCAAAGACCUUGAAACGCUGCUGGGAUUGGAGGCAUCCGAAACAACAACAAAAUGCAAAAUCACCCUGGAAUAACCGGCAACAACUAAGCUAAAAAAAAAAAAAAAAUACGACAACAACAACAACAAGCUAAACAACAAAAAUUACAAAAUGCAACACGCAAACUUAGAACCGAAACGAGCGAAACAAAUCGACAGGCGGAUGGAACGGCAACAAUGGCAUCAGCCGCAGCGCGGUUAAAAAUAAAGAAAUAAAUAAACAAAAAAUACUUGCAACUACAUAUUUCUAAAGAAACCACUGAGAACUUUGCCUCAGCAUCGACGACGAAUUGGAAUGACCCUUUUAACCAUUGAUAAUCAAAAGUUUUGAUAAGAAAACAGUGAAGAAUUUCAGAAAAAAAUAUUAAAUUGUAUUGUAGCAUUACAGCAUUUAUCACGACUUAAAACACGGUUUAUGUUCACUUAAGCAAAGUAAAAUCAU